AAGACUCUCGGCAACGGACAUUUCGGCUUUUGCAUCGAUGAAGAACGUAGCGAAAUACGAUACUUUGUGUGAAUUGCAGAAUCCCGUGAACCAUCGAGUCUUUGAACGCAAGUUGCGCCAGAAGUCUUAUAGACUGAGGGCACGCGUGCCUGGGCGUCA
rnacentral:rRNA from 1 species